UCGCGUUUCCUCCUUCGGCGCCAUUUUGUAGCGCAGAGAAUCCGCAAAUAAAGAGCAGGCGGUAGCGCGGGGUGGGAGAGGCGGCGACCGUGGGGGUCCCGGGUCUGGUCGCUGAGGCGGGUGCGGAAGGUGCCGCCCUUGAUGUGACGGGCCAGGCCCGGGCAGUCGGUGCGCAGGGACAGUGAGGCCUCCGCGCCGCAAGCAAGAGUUCACAAUGACUAAUGAAGAACCUCUCCCAAAGAAGGUUCGCCUUAGUGAAACAGACUUUAAGGUUUUGGGUAGAGAUGAACUGAUCCUAAGGUGGAAGCAAUAUGAAGCGUAUGUACAGGCUCUGGAGGGCAAAUACACAGAUCUUAAUUCUAAUGAUGUAACUGGAUUGAGAGAGUCUGAAGAGAAGCUGAAGCAGCAACAGCAAGAGUCUGCCCGAAGAGAGAAUAUCCUGGUGAUGAGGCUGGCAACUAAGGAACAGGAAAUGCAAGAGUGUACUAAUCAGAUUCAGUACCUCAAGCAAGUCCAGCAGCCUAGUGUUGCCCAACUGAGAUCAACAAUGGUGGACCCAGCCAUCAACUUGUUUUUCCUAAAAAUGAAAGGUGAACUGGAACAGACUAAAGACAAACUGGAACAAGCCCAAAAUGAACUGAGUGCCUGGAAAUUUACGCCUGAUAGAGGCCUGAUGGCGUCGGACUAUUCUGAAGAAGUGGCCACCUCUGAAAAUUUUUUCCUUUCUAGAACAUGUAGACACGUGCAAAGUGGUUCUAUUUGAAGAAAUAGAGGGAGAAACAGAAGUCUUAAGUCUGUGGCACACUGUGUCUACAGACAGUUUGGAGGAGAGAGAACCUAGAGAUUUUAAAUCAUGAAUUGAACAUGUAAAAUUCCAGUAAAAUGUAAAAAUGGAAUGUGCUUUGCUCUUAACCUUGAGCCUAGUGACUUAGAGACACUGUAAGUCAGUUUUGCCAAUAAGACUGUGGACUUCCUGCUUGUUCACUGAACUGCUGGGUCAAAACUCAAGGAGGUGAAUUUUGCAUUAAAGAGUUUAUUUGCUAACCAGCUUUAAAUAGCUAUGAGAGAGUGCUAUUUCAUAUCGCAUCAGUGGUAGUGUACACUUUUGACUGACUGUUUAGCAUUUGGGCUAUAUAGCGUUUCACUGAGCCGUAAGUCAAUAUGAUUUUAAAUAACAGAUUGUUCUCUGGAUGGUUGAUGAUACUGUGAACUCGCAAGUAGGACUGUAUAAAAUACAGGUACUAUCUAAUUGCAGGUUUAAAAUUGUUUGAAGCAAUAUAUUUGAUCACAACUAGAGUGUAUGAUGAGGAAAACCUAGUUGUGAUAAGUAUUUCACUGCAUGUUUCCAUGCAGAAAUUACAAUUUUGCAAAUGCUCCAUAUAUAAGGCACACAUAAUGACAACUGUCCUCAGUGUUGGUGUGGGGUAUUUUUUUGUUUCAUUGUAUGCCUGUUUUUGUAUUGCACUUCUAUAUAAAAUGUGCCUUGAAAGAGUUGUUAAUAUAGAACUUAAGGAACAUGAGUGGUCAUACUGUUGUACUGUGAAACUUUUGAGGUAAUGAACGAGAAUGUUACUUUUAAGAUGUCUCGUUCUCUGAAAGAGGGAAGACCAUAUUCUUCAAAAAAAAAAAAAUAUAUAAAUGCAUGCAUCCUUCUGGCUGGAAUCAAUCAAGGGCUUUGCUACUCUGUUGAUGCCUUUUUAUAAUGUUGUCCCAAGUUAUUUGCAAGAAUAGUAAUAUGGGACAGCUCAGAGUGGACAUUUGAGAUGUGUAAGUGUGCAGAGAAACGUGAAAUUAUGUGGACUGGUAUAGUGCUCAUGUAUUUUUAGCCAAUUAAUUUGUCAUCAGAACAUUUAAUGUUCUAGAUAUAGUUAAUCAGGCAUUAUUUCAUGACUCUAACGCUGGAAAGUUCAGUGUAACCACAAAAUUAAAAAAAACAAACCUACCUAAAACCCCAAAUCCAUCAGGUUCAGUUUUAUGAAAGGUAAUGUUUUCUACCAGGUGGGUAGACAACAACUGCUUAUUGUUGAAAAUGCAGUUUUCAUUAAGAUCACUUAAAUUUUAAUUCAACUCACUCAAACUGUUGUGUGCUUCAGAUAAUUAAUGUGGGGGAGAGAGAGUAGUGUGCUUGUGUGUAGGCUUGUUACCUAAGCAAUGGAUUUACAUCAAAAGGAAACCUUAAAAUUUUGAACUUUAAAAAAAAAAUUAUACAUAUAUUGAACCUACUUUGCUGUGGCAGUAUUAUGUAAGGUUUUAGUGGUCUAGCAUCAAAACAAAGGUAAGACUUUCAUUAGUGAACAAUUCUGUUAAUAUGUUACCAAAUUUGAAAUUACUAUUUACUAUAAUAUGCAGUCAAAAAAGCCAGCCAUGCUGAUUGCUUGGUUAACUUGGAGUUUAUAAAUCAGUUAAUUUUAUUUAGAUAAAGGAUGCAGAACUGUCCUCUGGAUCAAAAUGUGUUGUAUGACACUGAGGUAACAGAUGUUUCCUACCACUUUGUCUUAAUUUCAAGCAGAAGUAUUUAGAAAUCUUUUUUUUGCUAAUUUUUAUGUAGUCUUGAGUGGGGAGUUUGUUGUGUUUAAAUGUAAGUGAUAAAAGAGAACUGAACAAUAUUCCCUAAUUCAAAUUCUAUGUAACUUGAGUCUAAUCAUGGUGCAAGUAUAUAAAUACACAUUAGAUAUGUGCAGGAAAUAGAAUGCAAGGAAUCAACAAUUUAUUUCUAGUCUGUUUAGUUAUUUAAGGAACUCUUUUAUUUGUCAUUUGGGUUCAUGAUUUUAUUUUCAUCGGUAAAGGGAUAAUGAGUCAAACUGCUCAAGCUGUAAAGAGUUUGUAGAAAUUUUCAUUUAUCGUUUCACUAGGAACUGUUUCCCAUUUAUUGUCCCGUCCUUGUGUAUAACCGCUCUUAUUUCAUGGCACCUCAUCUCAUGUUUGAAAGAGUUGAUGAUCUCCUUCAAAAUCGUAAAUUGUUCUGAACUAACAAACACACGUCUGCUCCAACACCACUGCAGGCCCAAGUUUAUCAUCAAGCCUGGGACUUCAUUGUAGUAAAUGCAUACAGCAUUAUCCUUGCUGACAGAUGUUUAGAGGGGGAAAGAAGUCAGCACAACUCUAAGCUUCAAGAACUUGGCAUUGGACAUCACAUCAAGAUAAAGAACAGGUUGCUGUAUUAAACACAUUUGCAGGCUUCCAGGACUUUACGCAGCCAGAUUCCUUCUGGAGCAGCCCAUCUGAAAGAUGUGGGACAGUCAGUUGGAAGACUUUAAAUGGGACAGUUGGCAGAACUUUUAAAAACCUGAAGUGUUAAAAGCUUGAAUGCUUAAGCAGUAGCUAAUUGAGAGAUUAUUUGAAGUGACUUUUGGCUGGGCACCAGUUUUGCUGUGGUUGUGAAGCAUACUAGCAAUCCCCCUCCCCCCCCCCUUUUUUUUUAAUAUGCAAAAUUUCAUUCUGCCCUUGUAACUUUAUUAUACACUCUCAAGCUGACCUCCUCAGACUUGUUACCCUAAUACAAGUCCUGACGUUCAAUCACAAACCUGAUUAAUUCUGUUUUUCCAGGCUUUCAUUUCCUGUGGAAAAAGAGGACUGCUUCAUUAUAUAUGUUGCUGAACCUCAAAGAAGGCAAAAUAUUUGUGGUUACUUUCCUAGCUUUGGCAGACCAACAGUGUUAAAGGGUGCUUUAGCUCUCACUUUUAUUUUGUGACGAAAUAAACAUUAUUGCCUAUA